rnacentral:lncRNA from 12 species
ACAUUUAUACCAUAAUACCAUAUUUAAAAUAAUUCUAAAGCUAUUUAAAGUAAUUCAAUAUGGUAUAAAUAAAAAUGAGGCUGUACAAUAAUGAUGGCGUCGGAUUAAAACCAAAGGAGAAAAAUUCCUCGUGAGUCCGUAUUGAUAUCAAUAAAUAAUUGGGUGGAUAAAGGGGGAAUAGAGACAGCUCUUCCGGGCAACGUCCUCCGUCGACCCGCGCGGGUGACGUCAAGGCAGAGUGAGGUGUGGGCGCGGGACAUGGACGUCUGAGGCUGGAACCCGCUCCAACCCCCGCCCAGACAGAGGGGCUACACCGCCGCUCAGCCCCAAAAGUCGGGGAUCAUCGGACCUGUCUGCACCGUCCGCGGCGGGGCGGAGCCCACAGGGACGCACACAUCCGGGUCCCGGCGCGCGCACGCGCACCCGCUGCAAAUGGCCGCCGCCUCUGGUCCAAUCGCCUGCCCGCCAGAGCUUGAGAGAUGAGAUUGAAAAUGACAGAAUAUUCCUGAGGAAGAACCAUCCUGUGACGUGGACAUGGAAGGAUUUAUGAGAGAAGGAUCCCAUCUAUCCAUUCUAGGUGAAAAUUGGGACUGUAAGAACCGGGAGGGACAUUUGAGGCAAUUACCUUUAAUUCAGGAGAAGCCAGGGGCUCAGGAAGCAAUUUGUGAAUAUUCUGGACUUGGAGAACAUUUGAGUGCAAGCUCAGACCUUCUGUCAUCUAAGCGAAUACCUACAAAUGGUUUUCAUCUAUGUGACUCAGAUAUUAAAAGUUUGGAUUGUGAUGCAGCUUUACACAGUUGUCAGAAAAAUUAUGUAGCUAAGAGAAAUAGUGACAGUGACACAUGUGGAAAAGCUUUCAACCAUUCUGUGGAAGUUUUUCAACUUGGAAGAGAUCAAA